UUUUUGAAUUUAAUAUAAAGUCUAACCUGCCCACUGAAUUUAUUUAAAUGGCCGCGGUAUACUGACUGUGCAAAGGUAGCAUAAUCAUUUGUCUCUUAAUUGGAGGCUAGAAUGAAUGGUUGAAUGAAAUAUUAACUGUCUCAAUUUAAUAAAUUUAAAAAAUUUUUUUUUUAGUCAAAAAACUAAAAUAAAUUUAAAAGACGAGAAGACCCUAUAGAUCUUUAUAAUUUGGUGAUAUUAAUAAAUAUAGAAUUUUAUUAAGUUAAUAUAAUUAAAUUAUUAUGUUGGGGUGACAAGAAAAUUUAUAAAACUUUUUUUUUAGAAUAAACAUUAAUAUAUGAAUAAUUGAUCCAAUUUUAUUGAUUAAAAAUUUAAGUUACCUUAGGGAUAACAGCGUAAUUUUUUUAGAGAGUUCAUAUCGAUAAAAAAGAUUGCGACCUCGAUGUUGAAUUAAAGAUUAUUUCUAGAUGCAGGAGUUUAGAGGUUAGGUCUGUUCGACCUUUAAAUCUUU
rnacentral:rRNA from 1 species